rnacentral:rRNA from 1 species
AGUCACUGACAUUAGAUACCCCCGUAGUCCAGGGUGUAAACGCUGCAGACUUGGUGUUGGAGGCCCUUUGGGGGCAUUCAGUGCCGGAGAGAAGUUGUUAAGUCUGCUACUUGGGGAGUACGUCCGCAAGGAUGAAACUUAAAGGAAUUGGCGGGGGAGCACCGCAACGGGAGGAGCGUGCGGUUUAAUUGGAUUCAACACCGUAAACUCACCAGGGAAGACUGUUACAUGAAGGCCGAGAUGAAGACUCUGCUAGAUUUUCAG